rnacentral:lncRNA from 1 species
AAGAAACUUUGGUAAGAAGAAGGAUAGUGAGACCAACGCAGUAAUCAGUGGAAGGCAGAAGAGGCCUCAGAUCAGAAGAAAUCCACCACCCCGUCAACAUCAUCAUCAUCAAGUGUCAUCAGUAAUUCCGGUAUUUUCUAAUCAACAAGCAACACCAAUUCAACAACAACAACAAUAUCAACGUCAACAACAACAACCGCAAUAAAGAACGAACCCCUACAACAAGAACAAUACCAACAACAAUCAUCAUUAGCAGAAUUUCGAGAGGAAGAAGGUCUCUUUUGACCCAAUUCCUAUGUCAUAUGCAGAGUUGUAUCCUUCGCUAGUUCUCAAGAACUUAAUUCAACCAAGAAACCCACCGCAGAUCCCAAAACCACUUCCCUGGUGGUAUAAACCUGAGCUCCGUUGUGCUUUUCAUCAAGGAGCACCCGGACACGAUAUUGAAAAUUGCUAUCCAUUGAAGUAUGAGGUUCAAAAGCUUAUGAAGAGUGGUAUGGUGUCCUUUGAGGACCGCGUGCCAAAUGUUAAAACAAACCCUUUGCCCGCUCAUGGGAACUCUUCGGUGACUAUGGUGGACGGUUGUCCUGGAGAAUUCAAGGUUUUUGACGUCCGGUUUAUCCGAAGAUCUUUGGUGCAGAUGCACAAGGAUAUCUGUUUGGUGAGUGACUGUGAACAUGACCAUGAUGGUUGUGUUGUGUCAUACCCCAAUUUUGUCUGGGCAUUUUAAAAAUUUCAUAAAUUCGAUUUUUAUUUCAAUUUGCAUCAGUUGUACAACAUAACAUGCAUUUCAUCAUUAAUAAUAUCUAAAACAUCAAUCGGAAUAAAUUCUUGAAAAUACAGACAAUUUGGUUAAAUCAUUCCUCAAGUACAUGCAAAAUCAGCGGAUAAAAAGUUUCAAAAUUAAACUUGCAGACGCCAGUAUUAUUAAUCUACGGUCCGCGUAGUUCAGCCUGGUGUGCUCGUUAUAUUUUUCGACGACUUUUUCAGCUGCAUUUUAAUUCGUCUGAGCCUUUCAACCGGUGAAAAUUUAUUUUAAAAUUAAAAGAAACGCUGUAUUUUUUCAAUAAGUAUAUUUCGUGCUGAUCAUUUUAGUGCAUCCGAUUUAAUUUUUUGAAUAAAUUUAUAUCUGACUUCUAUUUAUAAUCAAUCAUUUUAUUUUUUUGUUCAAAUUUUCAAAUUAAACGAUUAGAGAUUUUUUUAUUUAUCUAAUUUAAAAUAUUGAUUAGAAAUUUAUAAUAACCAUAUUUUAUUUAAUAAUAAAUAAUAAUGAUUGUUUUCAAAAAAUAAAAUAAAGUUUAUACAUUGGAUUCCUUGUGAAAUUGCCAGCUGGUGCCACCAAUUACUCCAACGGAUCUCUCACUAAAAACAAAAAAAAAUACAAAAAGAGGAAGCUAACAAAUAGGUGACUCUCGAUCGACUGCUCUAGCUCUCUCUGAAAAGAAAAAUAAAGAAAAGAGGAUGGUUCCUCUUCUUUCUCAAUACCUCUCUCUCACUUUCUUACUAUCUGAAAAAAAAACAAAAAUAAAAAAGGAUUAAAGAUGAACCACUGUUCAUCUUCCUAACAACAACCCGUAACCACCGCGAAACCCAUCAUGAAACCUCCGUUUCCUCCUUUUCACACCUCCUUCGCUCCGCCGCAUCAACCUUCUUCAAACACACACAUUACCGGCGAACCGACCCCUCUCCGAACACAACAACCAUAACUCCAUAAAUUUUCGUCGCCGCCGCGAAAAACUUCUGCAACAAAAUAUCAACCGCGCAUCACCGACUCCUUCUGCCGUGAUUCACAACCGAUGACUCCUUUUUCUCCACAUCCUCCGUCUACGCGCAUAUCCAACACCUUGCAUCCACUACAAUCCCACACGGCCAAGAUAUCGUACCACCAUCUCCGAACUCAAUCUCCAAGGUGGUUUUCUUUUUAACUUUAAAAUUUGAGUUGUUUUGUGAUUUGUUUUGUUUAUGUUUUAAUUAUUCUUCUUUGAUUUGGAAUUGGAGAGAGAUUGGAUGAAACAAAGUAUGGAUUUUGUUUUAUUUCAAAUGAUCAUUGUUGUUGUUGAUUGCUGUUGAGAGAAAGGAGAGUGUGAGUUUUUUUAUCUUUUUUUUUCCGUUUGAAAUAAAAAGAAGAAGCUUUGUUCUUCUUUAUUUUUCUGAAAGAAAGAUCUGUUGCAUUGGUGGUUUCAUUUUAAAGAUGAUGUUGUUUCUCAUUUAUUAGUUUUAUUUGUGAAAUUUUAAAAUAGUUGAAAAAAUCUACUAGAUUUCAUUUUACUGUUUUUUAUAAAUAAGAGGAGCAUAUACGGUUUUCUUGAAGGAGGAGAAAUGUGUGGAAAUAGAGUUUGUUCAUUUUAGAUCUAGGUUUCUUUCUUUAAUAAUGGACAAUAAUAUUAUUUAGUAAUGUUUGAAAAGGUCAUAAUCAUGUUAUUUACUGUUUUUGAAGAGAGAUGGAAACAUGGGAGAGAGCUUUGUGGGGAAGAAACUUUUCUUUAAUUUCAUGUUUAGAAGGGUGAUUUGAGUGAAAUAGAGGAUGUUGGUUUCUUAGAUUUUUGUUUCUUUCUCUAAAUUGCCAAGUGAUAAUUUGGAUAUGGCUAAUGUUUUUUUUGAGAAAAGUAAUGCUAGGCCUUAGGGGCGUCGCCCCAAUUGUAUAUAUUAAAUUCUUGCUCAUUUAUUUUAUUUAUCUAUUUAUUUAUUUUACUCAUUAAGGUUUAAUUUUAAAUUAUGGUUAGUGUUAAUUAUUGGGUUGGAUUCAAUUUAUUUUUUACACCCCAUGGUCAUGUAUACACUCUUACUAUUUCUUUGUACUAUUUUCUUCUUGAUUCGACUAAUAGUAAAUUAAUUGAUUAGUUUUUUAAUUGAUUUGCUGAUUACGAUACUUAUUAAUUAUUUUAUUUUUCUUUGCAAAAGUAGGUUAUUGUGAUUAUUUUACUUAGUCGAUUUCAAUGUGUUAAUCUUUUAAUUAGAUAAUCUUUAUCCAUAUCAUAAGAUUGCACAUGUAAA